rnacentral:ribozyme from 17 species
AAGAAGCAAUAUUAAAGAAAAAAAAAAAAAUGGAUAAUGUCCUUUUUUAAUGAGAUUUUUUUUUCUUAUCAACCUUUUCUAAGAAUAGAAGCUUUUUUUUUUUGGCAAACCCCUAGAAAAUUUGGUGAAAUUUAUAAAAACA